AGUUUUAGUGACUGAGUGGCGGACGGGUGAGUAACGCGUGGGUAACCUGCCUCACACAGGGGGAUAACAGUUGGAAACGGCUGCUAAUACCGCAUAAGCGCACAGUACCGCAUGGUACAGUGUGAAAAACUCCGGUGGUGUGAGAUGGACCCGCGUCUGAUUAGCUAGUUGGCAGGGCAACGGCCUACCAAGGCGACGAUCAGUAGCCGACCUGAGAGGGUGACCGGCCACAUUGGGACUGAGACACGGCCCAAACUCCUACGGGAGGCAGCAGUGGGGAAUAUUGCACAAUGGGGGAAACCCUGAUGCAGCGACGCCGCGUGAGCGAAGAAGUAUUUCGGUAUGUAAAGCUCUAUCAGCAGGGAAGAAGAAAUGACGGUACCUGACUAAGAAGCACCGGCUAAAUACGUGCCAGCAGCCGCGGUAAUACGUAUGGUGCAAGCGUUAUCCGGAUUUACUGGGUGUAAAGGGAGCGCASGCGGAAGGUUAAGUCUGAUGUGAAAGCCCGGGGCUCAACCCCGGUACUGCAUUGGAAACUGGUCAUCUAGAGUGUCGGAGGGGUAAGUGGAAUUCCUAGUGUAGCGUGAAAUGCGUAGAUAUUAGGAGGAACACCAGUGGCGAAGGCGGCUUACUGGACG
rnacentral:rRNA from 1 species